rnacentral:tRNA from 1 species
GGGGUCCUAGCUCAGCGGUAGAGCACCCGGGAAACCGGGAGGUCCGGGGUUCGACUCCCUGUGACUCCUCCA